rnacentral:lncRNA from 1 species
CCAAUCUCUCUUAAUGUAGCUCCAAUCUCUAGCACCAAUCUCAAUCUCUACCAUUCAACAUCGAGCUCUGCCAAAUAUGGCAUUAUCGAUCAGCUUAAUAUGUAAUGCAAGAGAUUACGAUGGAGACCAAUGCAAUGAUGGUGGAUCUCGUCAACAUCAAUUUAUGAAUCUCUACCAUUGAGUUCAUUAGUCUGAUUGCCACCAUAUACCCUAUUUGGUGGGAUCAUCAUCUCUUAAUUAUUAAACCAUAAACCUUUCACAAGGUCAAGAUGUUAAAAGGAUCGGAUU